UUUGUGAUGUGCUUUUUACCUCUUAGGUGGUGGUUGUGCUUCCGGUGCUUUAGGCAUGCGUCUUCUUGUUUCGUGGUAACUUUGUUCAUCCGAUGAUUAUUCUUUCUCUAACCCGUUUUUUUUUUCUUUAUGUGCAGGUGCUUGAUCGCGAUCCUUUCUGUUCUGGAGAUCAUUUUGUCUCAUAUUUUAUCAUUUUACCUUUUUCUGACAUCUGUUUUUUCUAAUCAAGACAUUCUAUGGUAAGAUGAGAUAAAUUAGUCUUCUUUGUUGAUAUAUUUUCAGCUCCAAACCUUUAUUAAGUUGGUGUUACUAUCGUAUUAUUCUUUUUUUCUAUGAUUGUGGAAGUCUUAAGUUUAGAUUAUGUAUUGCACUCUAGUUUCUUCUUAUUAGUUUAGUCAUUUUGUAUUUUUAAUAGUUAAAUAAAUAUAUAAUUUGUAAAUAAAAU
rnacentral:lncRNA from 1 species